CAUUUCGAAUCCAAUACAAAACUGGUCAUCAUUACAGCGGCUUCUAUCUUAGCGAAUGCGGAUCCAGAUCCGACAGAACCCGCUUCACUUUUCCUUUCUCAGACGGGCGUAUUUGUCAUCAAACAGAUUGGCUGGGCGCAGUUGCGCAUGGCAGCUCGGCGGCCAUUGGGGCUCUCUUUCCCCCUCCGGAGUGCACUUUGGGAGUCAUCGGACCAGAUGACAAGAUCAUCAUCAUCAGCCAGAGCUCCUAUCCAAAGAAUGCAGACGAGCUGUCAAUCCGUCCACGGGCAACUUGAAGUCAGAGAGAUGGAAUCGGAUGAGUAGGGGCAGCUCUUUGUUUGUGUUCCCCUUGCAUAGGCCUAAGGAAGCCAAGAGACUCGCCUGUGUCUCAUCUGCUUUACAGAUUAGUCUCUCAGUUUUACUGCUAGAUGACUCGAGAGAACUUUGCAGAAUUCCUCCAGCUUGGUGGUGGAUGUCAGUUUCCUGGACUUGAGCUUAAUGGAAGAUUUAUCCCAGUUCACUCCAAAUUUGUGAAGAAUAGAGAUUCAUAUUUAUGAACAAAUGAGAUGCCAUUCUUUUAAGAGAGGGCACAUCCUAUUUUUCUGUACACCAAGCAAUGUUUGAGGAGAGAUUCUCAAGGACGUGGGAUUCUUCAUUCGAGUAUGACACGACACAUACUUUGCUCCUGGAGGAUGAAGGUUUCUGGUUCUUUCAACCAUGUCAUUUUUCAUCUCAGACACUUGUAUAGUGACUGUCAGGUUUAGCAAGUAAAGUACGUCGUAGACUGUGGCAUCAGAUUCUGUAGAUAAUGCUCCUUCGAGGCUCCCUAUCAGUCACAUUAAGCAAAUGAUGACAAGUUUUAACCCUAUCAUCCUCUUAAACAAGAAAGUCGAAAGUGAUAGAUAGAGAUUGAUAGAUAGAGAUGAACAAAGUUCUACUUGUGUCUCCUUAAGAACAGGUUCAGAAGCUGAUUCCAAGCUCUUCUAGAACAGAAAUAGAAUAUCAUGGUGAAGAAAAUAUUCAA